UGGGGAAUCUUGGACAAUGGGCGCAGGCCUGAUCCAGCCAUGCCGCGUGAGUGAAGAAGGCCUUCGGGUUGUAAAGCUCUUUUACCAGGGACGAUAAUGACGGUACCUGGAGAAUAAGCCCCGGCAAACUUCGUGCCAGCAGCCGCGGUAAUACGAAGGGGGCUAGCGUUGUUCGGAAUUACUGGGCGUAAAGCGCACGUAGGCGGAUUGUUAAGUCAGAGGUGAAAUCCCGGAGCUCAACUUCGGAACUGCCUUUGAUACUGGCAAUCUAGAGUCCGGAAGAGGUUAGUGGAAUUCCCAGUGUAGAGGUGAAAUUCGUAGAUAUUGGGAAGAACACCAGUGGCGAAGGCGGCUAACUGGUCCGGUACUGACGCUGAGGUGCGAAAGCGUGGGGAGCAAACAGGAUUAGAUACCCACGUAGUCCCUGAGCGGGCUGGCAAGGCGCAU
rnacentral:rRNA from 1 species